CCAGAGCUGCAACACAGGCGGGCCUCAUGGAUUAGUCUGUGGUGUUAAUGUGAUACAGAUGAAGAUCAUGAUUAAAAAAUAUCUACUUAUUACUUAAUUUUAUUUUAAUAAACGUUCUCUUCAGGAUGCCACUUACUAAAAAAAAAAAAAAGAUUUAUAUCAAUAAACUGCAAAUAUUGACUGCAUCUAAUCAUAUUUUCAAAUAUUUUAUUGAAAAAGUGAACAAAAAGUGAAUAAAAUAGUAAAAAAAUAACUUUUCAUUUCCAACCUUUUGUUCACAAUAAUUGAUAAGUGAUACAAUAAAUGCUCACCCCUAGGUGACGGUCUAAUACAUUUGAAUGCCAUAAAAAUUUAUUUAAAUAAUUCUAGAUCUAUGUGUUA